GCAUAUCAAUAAGCGGAGGAAAAGAAACCAACAGGGAUUGCCUCAGUAACGGCGAGUGAAGCGGCAACAGCUCAAAUUUGAAAUCUGGCCUCUUUGGGGUCCGAGUUGUAAUUUGUAGAGGAUGUUUCGGGUACCGCCUCGGUUUAAAUUUCUUGGAACAGAAUGUCAGAGAGGGUGAGAAUCCCGUCUUGGACCGGCGGUAGGGCCCAUGUGAAACUCCUUCGACGAGUCGAGUUGUUUGGGAAUGCAGCUCAAAAUGGGUGGUAAAUUUCAUCUAAAGCUAAAUAUUGGCCAGAGACCGAUAGCGCACAAGUAGAGUGAUCGAAAGAUGAAAAGCACUUUGAAAAGAGAGUUAAACAGUAUGUGAAAUUGUUGAAAGGGAAGCGCUUACAACCAGACUUGAGCGCGGCGGUUCCCCCUUCCUUUUGGUUGGGUUACUCCGUCGUGUCCAGGCCAACAUCGGUUCUGGGGGUCGGUUAAAGGCUUUGGGAAUGUAUCUACCCUUCGGGCGUAGACUUAUAGCCCAGAGUGUCAUGCGGCCUCCCGGGACCGAGGAACGCGCUUCGGCUCGGAUGUUGGCGUAAUGGUUGUCAGCGACCCGUCUUGAAACACGGACCAAGGAGUCUAACAUCUAUGCGAGUGUUUGGGUGUCAAACCCGUAACGCGAAAUGAAAGUGAACGGAGGUAGGAAGCCGCAAGGCUGCACUAUCGACCGAUCCUGAUGUCUUCGGAUGGAUUUGAGUAAGAGCAUAGCUGUUGGGACCCGAAAGAUGGUGAACUAUGCCUGAAUAGGGUGAAGCCAGAGGAAACUCUGGUGGAGGCUCGCAGCGGUUCUGACGUGCAAAUCGAUCGUCAAAUUUAGGUAUAGGGGCGAAAGACUAAUCGAACCAUCUGGUAGCUGGUUCUGCG
rnacentral:rRNA from 1 species